AUUGUCUACAUAAUGGAAUCAAUUGAAUGCUAUUUAGGAAUUGGUUUUUGGUUCUUUAUGAAUGCAGGCUACUCAUGUUUUGUUAGCUGUGCAAUAAAUGGCAUAUUUUCUGCUAUUACCAUCUCGUACUAAUUAUCUAGACGUAGCUCAAAGGCAUUUAGUUGAAAACAGUGGGGUUUAUUUUGUUUCUUAUUGUUUGUUUUGUAUUUGUUUAUUUUUAAAGGGAGGAGUGAAGUAGGAGUGGUGAACAGAUGGUUCUUGGCACAUCGAUGGCAUUUGUCCAUCUGAAGAGGAAUGUGAAAUUUCUGGUACUGUCAUGAGCUUUUCCAUGCACUUAAGUCCUGAGGCAAAACCCACUGAAGACUUCCUAACAUCAAUGGGCUUUGGAUCUAAUCCAUAGACAGCUAGUUUCUUUUGGAAAAUAUUGAAUGAAAUGUUUCUCUUUUUCUUACUGUUGAUGCAUUGGCUGAAAUAUCAGGGAAAUGUUCAGCAACUGCUAGAAGUUAUAUUCUUCUGUCUUAGAGAAAUAGACUUUGUCUCAGCAGAGGGAAACACCAAGUUGAUCCACAGAGAAAGGCCCUGCAGAUGCAUCUGUAUUGCGUGCCAUGCGUUGGUACAAGGAGUCAUUCAUUUUGUCUAAGAAACCUGACAGUGAUCCUUCAUGCUUCUAGCAGGACUGUGAAUUGUAAACAGCAUAUAAGGCUGGAAGACGACAACAGGAUGCAUGCACUCUCUUGGUUUUGACACUUUCUUAAAUCUAGAUCUUUGAGAAAAGGAAUAAUAAUGGAUAAAAAACAGUAUUGCAAUUAAUUAUUUUAGCACAGAUGUUACAUAAACAAUUCAUGUUAAAAACCAGUUUGAAGUUUUCGAUUUUAUCUCCAUAAAUUAUAAAGCAAAUUAUAUUAUUAGAUGCUGUAUACAGUGCAAAGCCUUCAAGGUCUAUUUGUCUCCAUAAAUUUACAGUGAAAUUUGUCUCAAAAUUCAUAUAGUUUUCAUUUGUUUCUGUUGAUCUUUUUGAAAGAAGAUCUGGACUUAAUCUCAAAUCUUAGAAUUUUACUUUAUAGAAAUAUGGAAGAUAAAACUCUUAACCGUAGCUUUGGAGAAGCUUUUGAAUAUAAUCUUGUGUCUCACAGCUGCAGUUGAACUUCAUAUUUCAGGAAGUUCUUAUUAAGGUGUCUGCCACGGCCUGCAAAAUGAACCAACAACUUUAGAGAUCCAUUAUUUCCAUCUGAAUUUAUGUUUUCAGGUGACUGUUCCUCAGUUACUGAUUUUAAGGAUACUCUAGGCUUUAAAAUCCUGAACAGGACCUUGUUCAGUUGAUGAAAAAUGACUUGAUUAAAAUUAUAUGCAAAUAGAUUAAAAUAGAUGUCCUUAUUCCUCUCCUCAUUUAGUAAUAUUUUCACUGCAAUGCACUUACAUUUAGCAGUUAGAGUGAACGUUUACUCUCAAGGAUUCAAGGUGCUUAAUAUUUUUUUAUUGUAAUUUUUUUUUUGCAGACUUCUCUAUGCUUCAGUGUAUUUUCUUAAACUGUUACACAAAACCUUCUGACAUUUUGUUUCACUGUAGAAAAUUUGAAGGGAGGGAGCACAUCAUCAUUUUUAUAUUGCUUUGAAUAGUUGAUAGUGUGAAAUGAAAGACUG
ensembl:lncRNA